CUCCAAGCCUUGGAUUUGUCCGGCAACUAUUUCUCUGGUGAGCUUCCUCCGGACGUCUCCUCCAUGUCCAACUUAUCUUACGUCGAUCUCGGUGGGAACCUGUUAAGCGGCCACAUUCCUCCACAGUUUGGUGAGUUGAGCAACCUUAAGUACCUCACGCUUGCGGCCAACCAGUUCACAGGAUCCAUCCCUCCAGAGCUCGGCCAGCUCGCCAACUUGGAGUGGCUCUACCUCGGCUACAACAGCCUCACCG
rnacentral:lncRNA from 1 species